GAUGAAGAACGUAGCAAAUGCGAAAAGUAAUGUGAAUUGCAGAAUUCAGUGAAUCAUCGAAUCUUUGAACGCACAUUGCGCCCGCCAGUAUUCUGGCGGGCAUGCCUGUCUGAGCGUCAUUUCAACCCUCACGCCCCUAGGGCGUGGUGUUGGGGAUCGGCCAGCGCCCUCGCGGGCGAGGCCGUCCCCUAAAUCUAGUGGCGGACCCGUCGUGGCCUCCCCUGCGAAGUAGUGAUAUUCCGCAUAGGAGAGCGACGAGCCCCUGCCGUUAAACCCCCAACUUUCUCAGGUUGACCUCAGAUCAGGUAGGAAUACCCGCUGAACUUAAGCAUAUCAAUAAGCGGAGGA
rnacentral:misc_RNA from 1 species